GAUGAACGCUGGCGGCGUGCCUAAUACAUGCCAGUCGAGCGAACAGACGAGGUUUUUGUUCCUCUGACGUUAGCGGCGGACGGGUGAGUAACACGUGGAUAACCUACCUAUAAGACUGGGAUAACUUCGGGAAACCGGAGCUAAUACCGGAUAAUAUAUUGAACCGCAUGGUUCUAUAGUGAAAGACGGACUUGCUGUUACUUAUAGAUGGAUCGGCGCCGCAUUAGCUAGUUGGUAAGGUAACGGUUUACCAAGGCAACGAGGCGUAGCCGACCUGAGAGGGGGAUCGGCCACGCUGGAACUGGGACACGGUCCAGACUCCUACGGGAGGCAGCAGUAGAGAAGCGACCGCAAUGCGCGAAAGCGUAACGUGGCGAAGCGGCGUGAGUGAUGAAAUGCUUCGGUUCGGAAAGCAAUGUUAUUAGGGCAGAAAAAAUGUGUAAGUAACGGUGCGGGGGUUGACGGUACCGAAUCAGAAAGCCACGGCUAACUACUU
rnacentral:rRNA from 1 species